rnacentral:rRNA from 1 species
CCUACGGGUGGCAGCAGUGAGGAAUAUUGGUCAAUGGCCGAGAGGCUGAACCAGCCAAGUCGCGUGAGGGAGGAAUGUACUAUGUAUUGUAAACCUCUUUUGUCAGGGAGCAAAGUCACCCACGUGUGGGCGUUUGAGAGUACCUGCAGAAAAAGCAUCGGCUAACUCCGUGCCAGCAGCCGCGGUAAUACGGAGGAUGCGAGCGUUCUCCGGAUUUAUUGGGUUUAAAGGGUUCGCAGGCGGAAGAUCAAGUCAGCGGUAAAAUUGAGGGGCUCAACCCCGUCGAGCCGGUGAAACUGGUUGUCUGGAGUGAGCGAGAAGUAUGCGGAAGGCGCGGUGUAGCGGUGAAAUGCAUAGAUAUCACGCAGAACUCCGAUUGCGAAGGCAGCAUACCGGCGCUCAACUGACGCUCAUGCACGAAAGUGUGGGUAUCGAACAGGAUUAGAUACCCGGGUAGUC